UGGGGGAUAUUGCACAAUGGGCGAAAGCCUUAUGCAGCGACGCCGCGUGGGGGAUGAAGGCUUUCGGGUUGUAAACCUCUUUCGCUAUCGAACAAGGCCCGCUUAGGGUGGGUUGAGGGUAGGUGGAGAAGAAGCGCCGGCUAACUACGUGCCAGCAGCCGCGGUAAUACGUAGGGCGCGAGCGUUGUCCGGAAUUAUUGGGCGUAAAGGGCUUGUAGGCGGCUUGUUGCGCCUGCUGUGAAAACGCGGGGCUUAACUUCGCGCGUGCAGUGGGUACGGGCAGGCUUGAGUGUGGUAGGGGUGACUGGAAUUCCAGGUGUAGCGGUGGAAUGCGCAGAUAUCUGGAGGAACACCGAUGGCGAAGGCAGGUCACUGGGCCAUUACUGACGCUGAGGAGCGAAAGCAUGGGUAGCGAACAGG
rnacentral:rRNA from 1 species